rnacentral:rRNA from 1 species
AACCGGAAUUGAUCGAGCUCGGCCGAUCCUCCCACCCUUUGUGUACCUACCUCUGUUGCUUUGGCGGGCCGCGGUCCUCCGCGGCCGCCCCCCUCCCCGGGGGGGUGGCCAGCGCCCGCCAGAGGACCAUCAAACUCCAGUCAGUAAACGAUGCAGUCUGAAAAACAUUUAAUAAACUAAAACUUUCAACAACGGAUCUCUUGGUUCUGGCAUCGAUGAAGAACGCAGCGAAAUGCGAUAAGUAAUGUGAAUUGCAGAAUUCAGUGAAUCAUCGAAUCUUUGAACGCACAUUGCGCCCUUUGGUAUUCCGAAGGGCAUGCCUGUUCGAGCGUCAUUACAACCCUCAAGCUCUGCUUGGUAUUGGGCACCGUCCUUUGCGGGCGCGCCUCAAAGACCUCGGCGGUGGCGUCUUGCCUCAAGCGAAGUAGAACAUACAUCUCGCUUCGGAGCGCAGGGCGUCGCCCGCCGGACGAACCUUCUGAACUUUUCUCAAGGUUGACCUCGGAUCAGGUAGGGAUACCCGCUGAACUUAAGCAUAUCAAUAAGCGGAGGA